ensembl:lncRNA
GGAGGCACUGGAGAAGCAGAAAGUCCGGGAGAUCGCGAGAUGCUGUGAGAUCGCGAGAUUCAGUGAGAGUGACGAAAUUCAACAUGGCGGCUCCCAGCUGCUAGAUGAGAAGUAAACAAAUCGCCGUUGUCUCGACGUAUUUGUAUUAAAAAAAUAAAUAAAUAAAAAACAACAACCUAACUAAAUAGCCUGCUCAAGAUCGGAAACGGUAGUGCUCACAGUCGAGGACCUUGAGAACUUUAUUGACGACUACUUCGUCCGGUGCACCAUGGAAGACGCCAACCCGAGCAAGAGGAAGAAGGCAGAUUCCUCGACAGACACACAAGACUUGGAGGUCACGGAUAUCCAGGUGUGUAUCAGCAUGUUUCAGGCUCUGCUGUGGGUAGACAUGCCAUCAAGAUCCUGGCUGGGGAGAGGAGGAUGGUGUUUCCUACUGGCUCUGUGUCAACUCCUGGAACACUGACUGGGGUGAUAAUGAUCCGAUUUCAAGUUUUGAGAUGCAGCG